rnacentral:rRNA from 1 species
AUUGAACGCUGGCGGAAUGCUUUACACAUGCAAGUCGAACGGUAGAGGGGGCAACCCCUCGAGAGUGGCGAACGGGUGAGUAAUAUAUCGGAACGUGCCCAGUCGUGGGGGAUAACGUAGCGAAAGUUACGCUAAUACCGCAUACGAUCUAAGGAUGAAAGCGGGGGAUCGCAAGACCUCGCGCAAUUGGAGCGGCCGAUAUCAGAUUAGGUAGUUGGUGGGGUAAAGGCUCACCAAGCCAACGAUCUGUAGCUGGUCUGAGAGGACGACCAGCCACACUGGAACUGAGACACGGUCCAGACUCCUACGGGAGGCAGCAGUGGGGAAUUUUGGACAAUGGACGCAAGUCUGAUCCAGCCAUUCCGCGUGCAGGAUGAAGGCCCUCGGGUUGUAAACUGCUUUUGUACGGAACGAAAAGGUCUCUCUUAAUACGGGGGGCUCAUGACGGUACCGUAAGAAUAAGCACCGGCUAGCUCCGUGCCAGCAGCCGCGGUAA